rnacentral:lncRNA from 1 species
AAAAUAAGAGACAAAAGAUAAUUUAAAUGUUUAUAUAGAUUUGCAACUAACAUUUUAUACAUUGUAAAAAAAUAAAAAAGUAAGAGAAAAAAUUUAUGAGUGUCUUCGAGAUUUGAAAGUUUCAAAUGGAUACUUCUUAAAAAAAAUGUGAUUGGAUCCAACUCAACUCUAUAAAAUUGGGGUGUAGAUUUCCCUCACUUAUAAGCACAUGUUCGGGUCUUAUAUUGUCUGAGGUAAGACUCUUAA